rnacentral:SRP_RNA from 1 species
GCUGGGCGCGAUGGCUCACACCUGUAAUCCCAGCACUUUGGAGGCCGAGGCGGGUGGUUCACCUGAGGUCAGGAGCUGGAGACCAGCCUGGCCAACAUGGCGAAACCCCGUCUCUA